rnacentral:lncRNA from 1 species
GGCUGGAAAACAAAAAUUCUGGAAACGGAAAAAAAAAACUGAAGGGAAGACAACCCCUAUUUAUAGAUGCACUCGAUGGUCAUGAUCGACGUAGAAAAUCACGACCUCUUCAGAGAUUUUAAUGUGUGGCAGCAAUCUCAAUCAACCAGCCUUCUGACUUUUCAAUGCACCAUCGUUAAGAUCGUUUCAGAUUAGUCGGAUCCUUAUGACAACAAAUC